AAGUCGUAACAAGGUUUUCGUAGGUGAACCUGCGGAAGGAUCAUUAAUGAAUUCUGGGAGUCCCUCCUCACCGGAGAAGGCCCGCUUACAUUAUCUAUCACACUUGUGAACCGUUUACCGAGCGAUCGGCUGGCCCCUCUUGUCGCGAGAGGGGGUUCACCCAGCAGUUCGUUCAUCUGCUAAACCUUUAACCCUUAUGCACUUGCAAAAGUUUUGAAAUACAAGUUGAUCAAAUGAAAGAAAAACUUUCAGCAAUGGAUCUCUUGGCUCUC
rnacentral:misc_RNA from 1 species